UGAAGAGAGAGAAAGAGGUUGUAGCUUUGAUGAUUGAGGUUGAAGAGGCUGUUGGAGAGAGUUUUUCUGAUGUGGGCUCACCUAUUUUAGAAUUCUAAAGAUGUUGAAGAGGCUGUUGGAGAUGCUCUAAUGAGGGGGUUGUGGGAGGGGCUUAAUCCUACUGUCCAACAAGAGACAGAAAAUAUUGGACUUGAUCUUUUUUUUUUAAUAAUUGAAUGGUUGCAUUGAACCCCCUCACCAAAAUACCCCUCAUUAUAGAAAUGCCCUGAGUUGUUUGGUAGAUCAAUAAGCACCACUAGACUAGAUUUAAGUCCACUGCGCUGUUUGGUACAAGACUAUACUGGACUGCAUUGGACUUCAAUAUUUUUUUUUAUACUUUUUUUUUUUGUGUUUGUUUAAUAUCACAAAUAAUUAAUUUUAUGAAAAAACAUGCGCACAUAAUUAAAAGUGAGAAAGCCCCAUCACAUACUACUUAUUUGCUUUUACCCCAUCACAAUAAAACAUGUCCAAAUAUAAUAAAGUAAAAACCCACCAAUCCAAUCCGAAUGGGACCUAUGUCUAAUUAAUUGGACUCAUCUAGUCCAAUCCGGCCCAACAAAUGGGGUCAUAAUUCAUACUCUUAGAAAUGUUAGUUGAUAGAUGAUACUUUUUUUUUUGUUAAGAAAUUCUAGGAUUGCAUUUAUAAUUCAGCCAAAAAAAAAAAUCACGGGCCACAAAAGGCCAAUACAAACUAGCCAUGAAGGGCUAUUACAAUAACGGAGCGAUCUAACAUCAAAAUUAAGACAAUCAAAUGUUCCUCCAGUAACGAUCAGUCAGGAUUGAAAAAACUCUUGAAAAAACUAAGAUUGCAAACUCAAUAAUAAAAAAUUUAAAAAAAAGAUAAAGCUUGAAAAAACUAAGGCAUAACAAUACAAAUAAAACUCUUACAAAGGAGAGAUGAAAUGCUCUCACAAAGGGGAAGUGGAAAGCUCUCACAAAAGGAGUGGUAAAAACUGCACAAAGAACCCAAAAAGCCUAUGCGACUUAUUCCAAACAUAAAGAAACCUCAAAAAGGAUGGUGGUAGAGAUCUGACGCCGAAAUGAUGUGGAGAUCCAACGAUGAGAUGUAACUGCCUGUGAUGGUUGGAUGAAAAUUAUAACAAAACGAAGACAAAUAGGGGAAACCUUCUGUCUCUGCAAAUGAGGGAAGAGGAUAAAGGAGGAAGAGAAGAGGGGAGAGAGGAGGGGAGGAAGAACAGUGGCUUCCUCCCUCUCAAAGUGAAAAUGGAUGUAGGAGUGUUUUUUAGGAGAGAGCGGGCUAGAGUUUCUCUAGAGGUUUACGCACUCACUGAUUGUUUGUUGAUAGAUGAUACUUAAGCUGCAAAACUUCACUAAUACUAUAAUUAUUACUAGCUCUUUGGCACACACUCCGAUUGAAUUUUUUUUUUCUUGAGAUAUAUAACUUUUUUUUUUAAUAUUCAAAAGGUUUGAAGGUGGUUAAUUGUCUUUUUUUAUUUAUGGACAAUUGUAGUACUGCUCCUAUUUUAUUUUAAUUUAAAUAAAUUGUGAAUAU
rnacentral:lncRNA from 1 species